rnacentral:lncRNA from 1 species
GGGAGCUAUGAUCCCUCUCUGUCUUGGAUCCCCGGGGCCUGUUGGAAUCUACAACCAUGUGGGCUUGGGAGUAAAAUCAGUCUCUUCAGUAUACCAAUUUCCUUUCUUUUGGAUAUAUAUUUGACAGUGAGAUUUCUGGAUCAUAUAGGAGAUUGGGAUAGAUUCCAUAGGGAUACAGAUAACGUGCUGUGGCCGGGAGGUGGACACAGUUUUGCUGUAUAAAAGUUAAAAGAGAUUUUCAGGAGGAAGCAUCUGUGGGAGUGAGCCUUGGAGGGUAUAGGAUUGGGGUGGAUGAAAAUCAAGACAAGGGCUGUUAGUAGGUGUGCGGGAGCUGAGGUAUAGGAACAGGGGGACAGUGUGCUCUUAGCCAUGCUUUAGCUGAUUGAGGGGAGAGUUUUUGCUGUCUUCUCAGGGUAUAACCCAGGUCCAUUUUGUCCUUUCCCUGUGACUGGUGACUUCUCUGCCCUGAAGUUGGCUACUCUGCAGAGAUAAACAUUUUCACCUCUGGGGAAUAAG